rnacentral:rRNA from 1 species
UACGUAGGGGCCAAGCGUUGUCCGGAUUUAUUGGGCGUAAAGAGCUCGUAGGCGGUUUGUCGCGUCUGCUGUGAAAUCCCGAGGCUCAACCUCGGGCCUGCAGUGGGUACGGGCAGACUGGAGUGCGGUAGGGGAGAAUGGAAUUCCUGGUGUAGCGGUGGAAUGCGCAGAUAUCAGGAGGAACACCGAUGGCGAAGGCAGUUCUCUGGGCCGUAACUGACGCUGAGGAGCGAAAGCGUGGGGAGCGAACAGG